rnacentral:rRNA from 1 species
AGAGUUUGAUCCUGGCUCAGGAUGAACGCUAGCUACAGGCUUAACACAUGCAAGUCGAGGGGCAGCAUGAACUUAGCUUGCUAAGUUUGAUGGCGACCGGCGCACGGGUGAGUAACACGUAUCCAACCUGCCGAUGACUCGGGGAUAGCCUUUCGAAAGAAAGAUUAAUACCCGAUGGCAUAGUUCUUCCGCAUGGUAGAACUAUUAAAGAAUUUCGGUCAUCGAUGGGGAUGCGUUCCAUUAGGUUGUUGGCGGGGUAACGGCCCACCAAGCCUUCGAUGGAUAGGGGUUCUGAGAGGAAGGUCCCCCACAUUGGAACUGAGACACGGUCCAAACUCCUACGGGAGGCAGCAGUGAGGAAUAUUGGUCAAUGGACGAGAGUCUGAACCAGCCAAGUAGCGUGAAGGAUGACUGCCCUAUGGGUUGUAAACUUCUUUUAUACGGGAAUAAAGUGAGGCACGUGUGCCUUUUUGUAUGUACCGUAUGAAUAAGGAUCGGCUAACUCCGUGCCAGCAGCCGCGGUAAUACGGAGGAUCCGAGCGUUAUCCGGAUUUAUUGGGUUUAAAGGGAGCGUAGGCGGAUGCUUAAGUCAGUUGUGAAAGUUUGCGGCUCAACCGUAAAAUUGCAGUUGAUACUGGGUGUCUUGAGUACAGUAGAGGCAGGCGGAAUUCGUGGUGUAGCGGUGAAAUGCUUAGAUAUCACGAAGAACUCCGAUUGCGAAGGCAGCUUGCUGGACUGUAACUGACGCUGAUGCUCGAAAGUGUGGGUAUCAAACAGGAUUAGAUACCCUGGUAGUCCACACAGUAAACGAUGAAUACUCGCUGUUUGCGAUAUACAGUAAGCGGCCAAGCGAAAGCGUUAAGUAUUCCACCUGGGGAGUACGCCGGCAACGGUGAAACUCAAAGGAAUUGACGGGGGCCCGCACAAGCGGAGGAACAUGUGGUUUAA